rnacentral:rRNA from 1 species
UGGUGGAGUGAUUUGUCUGGUUAAUUCCGAUAACGAACGAGACCUUAACCUGCUAAAUAGUAUUGCGAAUGUUUAUUCGUAAGACUUCUUAGAGGGACUAACUACGUUUAGUGGUUGGAAGUUUGAGGCAAUAACA